AUGAACGCUGGCGGCGUGCCUAAUACAUGCAAGUCGAGCGAACGGACGAGAAGCUUGCUUCUCUGAUGUUAGCGGCGGACGGGUGAGUAACACGUGGACAACCUACCUAUAAGACUGGGAUAACUUCGGGAAACCGGAGCUAAUACCGGAUGAUAUUUUGAACCGCAUGGUUCAAAAGUGAAAGACGGUCUUGCUGUCACUUAUAGAUGGAUCCGCGCUGCAUUAGCUAGUUGGUAAGGUAACGGCUUACCAAGGCAACGAUGCAUAGCCGACCUGAGAGGGUGAUCGGCCACACUGGAACUGAGACACGGUCCAGACUCCUACGGGAGGCAGCAGUAGGGAAUCUUCCGCAAUGGGCGAAAGCCUGACGGAGCAACGCCGCGUGAGUGAUGAAGGUCUUCGGAUCGUAAAACUCUGUUAUUAGGGAAGAACAUAUGUGUAAGUAACUGUGCACAUCUUGACGGUACCUAAUCAGAAAGCCACGGCUAACUACGUG
rnacentral:rRNA from 1 species